AAUAUACUCCGUACCAAAAUUCUUGUAUUAGAUUUGUUUAGAUAUGAAAGUAUCUAGUCAUGCUUUAGUAUUUAGAUACAUUCAUUUUUAGUAAAUUUAAGACAAGAAUUUUAGGACGGAGGGAGUACUUC
rfam:Hordeum vulgare subsp. vulgare, WGS project CAJW01000000 data, contig: morex_contig_31240